CAAGGCGACGACGGGUAGCCGGCCUGAGAGGGCGACCGGCCACACUGGGACUGAGACACGGCCCAGACUCCUACGGGAGGCAGCAGUGGGGAAUAUUGCACAAUGGGCGCAAGCCUGAUGCAGCGACGCCGCGUGAGGGAUGACGGCCUUCGGGUUGUAAACCUCUUUCAGCAGGGAAGAAGCGAAAGUGACGGUACCUGCAGAAGAAGCGCCGGCUAACUACGUGCCAGCAGCCGCGGUAAUACGUAGGGCGCAAGCGUUGUCCGGAAUUAUUGGGCGUAAAGAGCUCGUAGGCGGCUUGUCGCGUCGGUUGUGAAAGCCCGGGGCUUAACCCCGGGUCUGCAGUCGAUACGGGCAGGCUAGAGUUCGGUAGGGGAGAUCGGAAUUCCUGGUGUAGCGGUGAAAUGCGCAGAUAUCAGGAGGAACACCGGUGGCGAAGGCGGAUCUCUGGGCCGAUACUGACGCUGAGGAGCGAAAGCGUGGGGAGCGAACAGGAUUAGAUACCCUGGUAGUCCACGCCGUAAACGGUGGGCACUAGGUGUGGGCAACAUUCCACGUUGUCCGUGCCGCAGCUAACGCAUUAAGUGCCCCGCCUGGGGAGUACGG
rnacentral:rRNA from 1 species